CCACACGACUCUCGGCAACGGAUAUCUCGGCUCUCGCAUCGAUGAAGAACGUAGCGAAAUGCGAUACCUGGUGUGAAUUGCAGAAUCCCGCGAACCAUCGAGUCNNUGAACGCAAGUUGCGCCCGAGGCCAUUCGGCCGAGGGCACGCCUGCCUGGGCGUCACG
rnacentral:rRNA from 1 species